rnacentral:rRNA from 1 species
AUUGAACGCUAGCGGGAUGCCUUACACAUGCAAGUCGAACGGCAGCGGGAAGUAGCUUGCUACUUUGCCGGCGAGUGGCGAACGGGUGAGUAAUGUAUCGGAACGCGCCCAGUAGCGGGGGAUAACUACGCGAAAGCGUGGCUAAUACCGCAUACGCCCUACGGGGAAAGGGGGGAACGUCUUCGGAGCCUCUCACUAUUGGAGCGGCCGAUAUCGGAUUAGCUAGUUGUGGGUAAAGGCCU